rnacentral:rRNA from 1 species
UUAGAACUAAAACCAAUCAGUACUUGUACUGUGGUUYGGUGAAUCUGAAUAACUGAGAUAAUCGCUUCUGUCUUUGCACAGGCGAUGGUUCCUCCAAGUGUCUGCCUUAUCAACUUUCGAUGGUAGGUUAUGCGCCUACCAUGGUUGUAACGGGUAACGGAGAAUUAGGGUUCGACUCCGGAGAAGGAGCCUGAGAAACGGCUACUACUUCUAAGGAAGGCAGCAGGCGCGCAAAUUACCCACUCUCAGUGCGAGGAGGUAGUGACGAAAAAUAACAAGGCGGUUCCCUAUGGGAGCCGUCAUUGGAAUGAGAACAAUCUAAACCUUUUAACGAGGACCUAGCGGAGGGCAAGUCUGGUGCCAGCAGCCGCGGUAAUUCCAGCUCCGCCAGUGUAUAUCUAUGCUGUUGCGGUUAAAAAGCUCGUAGUUGGAUCUGCGUGCACGUUGGCGGUCGGCCUUAUGGGUCUGAACUGCACAACUGCACUUGUGUGGUAGUUCUGUCUUUGUGCUCUUAACCGGGCGCACUGAUCGGCUGCCAAGUUUACUUUGAAAAAAUUAGAGUGCUC